UACGAAGGUGACAACCGUUGCUCGGAAUCACUGGGCAUAAAGCGCGCGUAGGUGGCUUCGUAAGUCCAUGGUGAAAUCCCUCGGCUCAACCGAGGAACAGCCGUGGAUACUGCGAGGCUUGAGGUCGGGAGGGGUGAGUGGAACUCUGGGUGUAGCUGUGAAAUGCGUAGAUAUCCAGAGGAACGCCGGUGGCGAAAGCGACUCACUGGACCGAAUCUGACACUGAGGCGCGAAAGCUAGGGGAGCAAACAGG
rnacentral:rRNA from 1 species